CAAAAAGAGUUUAGGCUCUUAAACCCCUGUGAAUAUACCUGUUUAGUUGCUUCGGCGGGCAGCCCCAGGGCGGGGCCGCGGCCUUUUACAGGUGCCCGCCGAAAGCUCCACCAAACUCUUUUAUUUCUACAGCACUCUGAGUUAAAAAACACAAAUAAGUCA
rnacentral:misc_RNA from 1 species